AGCUCAGAAACAAGACCUGUUCGAAAAAUUAGGAGAAAAUUAAUCUGUUACCUGUGAUUGUCUUGAAGGCUUGAUAUUGGUGAUAUUGGCUCUACAAUCUACAUUAACGGUAAUAAGUAAUAUAUUUCUGUGCGUAAAUUAAGGUUUAUUCGGUAGGUACCUAUAUCACGUUGUUUAGUAGUCGGAUACUCCAUAGAUUUGCCUUAUUAAUGCAUUAUAGUGAAUUUCUCAAGACUAUUUUUCUUUUGGGGUGUGUUCUUCACCUUUUGUAUGCAAGGAUUAUUUUAACUAAAUAUAAGUUUUCUCGAACACGGAUCAGGGUUAGGCUUAACCUUUUAAACGCCAAAUAGUGAAAAAGAAUACGUCGUGCCCCGGACACCAGACAGACGUGGAUCGCGAUUAUUUGAGCAAAAUUAGGUGUUAAGAAGGCCCGCAUGGGUCCCCAAUGUAAUUGGCAAAACUGAUGGCCAUGGUUGGCGUCCUUAGGAAGCAUUUCCAGCGACGGCCAUAUCCGCCCAUGGUGGUCAAAAGGUUAAUGUGAUGAGAUAGGACCUCAACUAUGUCUAGUUUAUUUAUUUUGUAUUAUCUCGGUUGGUUGGCGCUGUAUCACUAAAGAAAUUUUAUACAAAUAAUCAAAUAUCUAAAA